rnacentral:lncRNA from 1 species
GUGUGGUCGGCUCCUUCUGGGUCAACAAUUGUGCACUGCUCAGACUGUUUCAAGGCUCAAGAGAGAAUUGUCAGUCAGGUUCUUGGGGGAAACUGAGGAGAUGAAAACAAACAAAGAGAUUCUGUGCUGGAGUAUGAAGGAGUAGGGAAAGAAGACAGUGCCUGUCCAAGUCACUCAGGUUAGAUUACCAUCCCAGGGGGAAAAAAUUUAAAGUUUUAAUCAAAUAAAUGCAUCAG